GUGAAUCAUCGAAUCUUUGAACGCACAUUGCGCCCGCCAGUAUUCUGGCGGGCAUGCCUGUUCGAGCGUCAUUUCAACCCUCAAGCCCCAGCGGCUUGGUGUUGGGGACCGGCCCCGCGCCGCCCCCGAAAUGCAGUGGCGACCUCGCCGCAGCCUCCCCUGCGUAGUAGCACAAACCUCGCACCGGAGCGCGGAGACGGUCACGCCGUAAAACGCCCAACUUUCUAGAGUUGACCUCGGAUCAGGUAGGAAUACCCGCUGAACUUAAGCAUAUCAAUAAGCGGAGGA
rnacentral:misc_RNA from 1 species